UUCCGGUUGAUCCUGCCGGACCUGACUGCUAUUGGAGUAGGACUAAGUCACGCUAGUCAAAGGUGCGGAAUGGAGCACCUGGCGUACGGCUCAGUAACACGUAGUCAACCUACCCUAAGGACGAGGACAGCCACGGGAAACUGUGGCUAAUACUCGAUAAGAAAUUUGGCCUGGAACGGUAUCUUUCACAAAACCGGCUCGCCGUGAGACACGGGCCUUAGGAUGGGGCUGCGGCUGAUUAUGCUAGAUGGCGGUGUAAAGGACCACCAUGGCUACGAUCAGUAUGGGCGAUGGAAGUCGGAGCCCAGAGUCGGCUACUGAGACAAGGAGCCGAGCUUUACGAAGCUUAGCGGUCGCGAAAACUCGCCAAUGCACGAAAGUGUGAGUGGGCUACUCCAAGUGUCAUUCUUACGGAUGACUGUCGCACAGUCUUACCAGCUGUGAAAGGAAGGAGAGGGCAAGGCUGGUGCCAGCCGCCGCGGUAAAACCAGCUCUUCGAGUGGUCAGGACGAAUAUUGGGUCUAAAGCGCUCGUAGCCGGACAAGUAGGUUCUUGGUUAAAUCCGACAGCAUAACUGUUGGUCUGCUGGGAAUACCGCUAGUCUUGGGAGCGGGAGAGGACAGAGGUAGUCAUAGGGCAGGGGUGAAAUCCAGUGAUCCUAUGGCGACCACCGAUGGCGAAGGCAUCUGUCUGGAACGUAUCCGACGGUGAGGGGCGAAAGCUAGGGGAGCGACCCGGAUUAGAUACCCGGUUAGUCCUAGCCGUAAACGAUGCGGACUAGGUGUUACAGCGGCCAAGAGCCACUGUAGUGCCACAGUGAAGACGUUAAGUCCGCCACCUGGGGAGUACGGAUGCAAGUCUGAAACUUAAAGGAAUUGACGGGGGCGCACCACCAGGAGUGAAGCCUGCGGUUUAA
rnacentral:rRNA from 1 species